AUUGAACGCUGGCGGAAUGCUUUACACAUGCAAGUCGAACGGCAGCACGGACUUCGGUCUGGUGGCGAGUGGCGAACGGGUGAGUAAUACAUCGGAACGUGCCCAAUCGUGGGGGAUAACGUAGCGAAAGCUACGCUAAUACCGCAUACGAUCUAAGGAUGAAAGCGGGAGAUCGCAAGACCUCGCGCGAUUGGAGCGGCCGAUGGCAGAUUAGGUAGUUGGUAGGGUAAAGGCCUACCAAGCCGACGAUCUGUAGCUGGUCUGAGAGGAUGAUCAGACACACUGGGACGGAGACACGGCCCAGACUCCUACGGGAGGCAGCAGUGGGGAAUUUUGGACAAUGGACGCAAGUCUGAUCCAGCCAUUCCGCGUGCAGGAUGAAGGCCCUCGGGUUGUAAACUGCUUUUGUACAGAACGAAAAGGCUCUGGUUAAUACCUAGGGCUCAUGACGGUACUGUAAGAAUAAGCACCGGCUAACUACGUGCCAGCCGCCGCCGUAA
rnacentral:rRNA from 1 species